GAUGAACGCUGGCGGCGUGCCUAAUACAUGCAAGUCGAGCGAAUGGAUUAAGAGCUUGCUCUUAUGAAGUUAGCGGCGGACGGGUGAGUAACACGUGGGUAACCUGCCCAUAAGACUGGGAUAACUCCGGGAAACCGGGGCUAAUACCGGAUAAUAUUUUGAACUGCAUGGUUCAAAAUUGAAAGGCGGCUUCGGCCGUCACUUAUGGAUGGACCCGCAUCGCAUUAGCUAGUUGGUGAGGUAACGGCUCACCAAGGCAACGAUGCGUAGCCGGCCUGAGAGGGUGAUCGGCCACACUGGGACUGAGACACGGCCCAGACUCCUACGGGAGGUAGCAGUAGGGAAUCGUCCGCAAUGGACGAAAGUCUGACGGAGCAACGCCGCGUGAGUGAUGAAGGCUUUCGGGUCGUAAAACUCUGUUGUUAGGGAAGAACAAGUGCUAGUUGAAUAAGCUGGCACCUUGACGGUACCUAACCAGAAAGCCACGGCUAACUACGUGCCAGCCGCCGCAGUAA
rnacentral:rRNA from 1 species